GCGCGUAUAUAAGUAACCAAGUUGUUUAUUUAUUAUUCAAUAUGAACGUUUGGUAUUAAUGCUAUAACAACAAAGCUGUAAGUGUAUUAUUAUUACAAAAAAUUUGGCAUUUCUCGAGCUCAAUCCUUUCAAAAACAAAUCAAUGAAAGAAAUUUAAUUUAAGGUGUCUCUUCUUUCCCACUCUAAUGUCUUAUGACGUUUGGAUAUUGGAAGAUAUUGGAUAAAUAAGGGGGUAAUUGAAUUUAAUUUAUACACAAAAAGCAACGAUAAACAAUUGCAAUCGAGAAACGAUGUCAUUCGAAACGCAGUAAACUAGCAAGAACAGUUGGUUAGUCUAACUUUCCUCCAUGUAGCAGUUGAAGCUAAGGUAACUCAGUAAUCAACAAAAGUAAAAUCUAUGUUAGUUUUUCCUUAUUUUGUAAUUGUUUAAAAAAUCUCGUAGGAAUCUUGAAACGUUAAUCUAAACAUUUAUAGUAAAAAAAUUACUACACUUUUUAGCACAUAUAUAACUUAAAAAGUUAAUAUAAACCUUCAUAUAUCAAAUUUUCGAAAAAUUUUUAUGGGUCAAAAAGAUUAGCGAAAAACUCCCAAAAGUUAAACAAAAAAUAAUGUCUAUGCUAAAUACCGUGAUUGUUAUUAUAAUUUUAACUUUAAACGCUAACCAACAAUAUUUCUGACUAAAGUUGUUUGAUAAUUUUUGUGUCAUAUAAAACUUAUGAUGAACCUUGUAUCAAAUUGUUGAGCAUUUUUGAAAAGUCAAACAAAUUGUAUCUACAUAAACUCAAAAUAUUUCGAAUGUUUACAAAUCUAUAAAAGGGUAAUAAUUCGUUAAAAAUGUCAGGUCUCUACGAUUAUUUCUAACUGAAUAAAACCGAAAAAAGAAAACUGUAGAGGCCUAAAAAAAAAACUAUUCGGAGUGAAGUUCAGCUAUACAUGUAUUGAAAGCUCGUAUACGAUUUUCAUCAAAAUUUGAUUUUAAAACUUUUAAAUGAAAAAGAGACAUAAUUCAUACGAUGAGUGCAGCCAUUGUUGUUGGUGAGAAGUUGGUAAGCUUAAAGAGGGGAAAUUAAUUUGUGUCUGUAAGCAACGAUAAACCAUUGCUAAUUGUAACUAAACCUUAUUGAGCGAAGUUUAAUUGAUAGUGAUGCUUUGUCAACAAUAUAACAUGACAUAAUAUGAUGAAAUAAUUAAAUAGGCAUUAGAUAUUUUCUUUAAUAAUAAUCGUUUAAUAUUGUACCAAUUUUCCCGUUUUUUCUACGUUUUCCAUAUAUUUUCCCGUUUAUCCUCUGUUUUUUUUUUUUCGGUUUUUCAAAUUUGAUAAGAAAAUCAGAAAAUGACCUCUCUAAAG